GAUGAACGCUGGCGGCGUGCCUAAUACAUGCAAGUCGAGCGAACAGACGAGGAACUUGCUCCUCUGACGUUAGCGGCGGACGGGUGAGUAACACGUGGAUAACCUACCUAUAAGACUGGGAUAACUUCGGGAAACCGGAGCUAAUACUGGAUAAUAUAUUGAACCGCAUGGUUCAAUAGUGAAAGACGGUUUUGCUGUCACUUAUAGAUGGAUCCGCGCCGCAUUAGCUAGUUGGUAAGGUAACGGCUUACCAAGGCAACGAUGCGUAGCCGACCUGAGAGGGUGAUCGGCCACACUGGAACUGAGACACGGUCCAGACUCCUACGGGAGGCAGCAGUAGGGAAUCUUCCGCAAUGGGCGAAAGCUUGACGGAGCAACGCCGCGUGAGUGAUGAAGGUCUUCGGAUCGUAAAACUCUGUUAUUAGGGAAGAACAAAUGUGUAAGUAACUAUGCACGUCUUGACGGUACCUAAUCAGAAAGCCACGGCUAACUACGUG
rnacentral:rRNA from 1 species